UCUCAAAGAUCUGGAAUUACAGGCUUGAGCCACCAUGACCAGCCCAAAACCAGAUCAUUUAGACUAUGAUCAUUUAGACUGUAUCACUUUUGGCCAAGAGCUGGGGACACAGUGGUGAAUAAGACACAGGCCUAUCCUCAUGAAGCUUAUAUUAAUGGGGGACAAAGGAUAAUAAUCACAUAAGCAAACAAAUAAAUACAUGAGAUGA